AUGUGUACUAGCUCCACUCUGAGGACUACAGGGAGGCUACGGAAUGCGGGAAGCAGGAGGGGGAGGAGGGGAUGUGGGCUUUGUAAGCGCCGGCCAGCCCUCCCGAGAGAGCCAGGAAGGACUCUGGCUCCCGCUCACUGGUCCAGCCUCACCCAUCAGAGAAGUCGGGGGUGAGGUGGGUGCUGAUUUUUCCAUGAGCAGAUGAGGGGCCUGAGCAUUUGCCAAGGGCCCCAGAGCUGGUAGGGGGUAGAUAUGAAACUUGACCACAUAUUUGGCAGACUCUUAAAAUUGUUGACGCUUUUCCCGCUACUUGUGGGUGUUUGUCUGAGUCGGAGGUCGAAGGCGUAGGGAGGCACGUCCAGAGCGACCUGGUGUAGUGCGGAGGGUGUGAGACCCAUGCAAACCUGAAUGCACGAACCUGUCUCGUUUCUGGGGCCCGAUUAGUGUGUCUUCCGGGCUUUGGUUUGAGCUCAAAAAUCUGACAUUUAAGCAUUCUCAUAGGGAAGCAAAAUGAGAAAAUGCCGUCUGUGUGACUGUCCCAGAGUUUCUCCUGAACCGAGUCUCCUCAUCAGCCUCCUCCUGGGCUAGUUGUCACUUAGGCCAUCAGGAGCUAUUCGAUUCCAAACAGCAGAAACCCCAACUCAAACCGGCUGAAAGUAUAAGAGGACUCAUCAGCUUACGUCCUGGAAAGUCUCAAAGUAGGUCUGGCUUCUCGACACCUUUCUAUGAAACCCCCCGUUGUAAUUCCAGGAUGGUUGCCAAACAUCUCCGGGGCUGCAGGCUUCCUCCGUGCAGAUUCAAAUAUGCCCACGAGUGCCCUGACACUUCCUUUAAAAGGUGGAGCCAAGUUCCCUUCUCCUUGAGUGCUCUUCCAACACCUAGAAAAAAGCAGAAGUGAGUAGGCCCUAAAAGCCCAGGAAGAGGCCCACGAGGUGGACAACGGAGGCCUCUGACCAACAGCCAGGGAAAACCGUGCCCCCUGCCAGUGGCCACUGAAAGGUCUUGAAGCAGGGCCACUUUAAUCCAAUGAGCUUGGCAGUUGGUCCUCAGCCCCGGCCGGACCUCAGGUGACAGCAGCCCCUCGUGAGAGACCCUGAGCUGCAGCCACCCAGCAGAAGCUACUCCUGGAUCCCCGGCCCAUGGAAACUGAGAAUGAUCCUUCGACGGCUGCCUUGGAGAGUGCACGAUGGACAAGAGCCCAGCAGACUGUGGAUGGUGCCCUCAGCUGGCCUCAGUAAGGCAGUUCGGGGUACAGGACACAGACGGCACAAAAACUGACAGGAAUGAGAAGUGCCAGCUCUGGCUGAGCCUAUCCGCUCUCCCCUGGAGAUGUGGCCCUCUCUUGCCUCUUGCCAGCCUUCUAUACAUGCUCCUUCUUUGUCCUCUUCCUGGGGUUCUCAUCUUCUCCCACUCCCACCCUUGGGGGCCCCUGAACUUCAUCCUUCUCCUCGGAGGCUGGAAGCCUCCCUGCGGCCUCGAUUUCGUGCUGCUCCCCUGGACUGUACCCUCCAUGAGGACAGCGCCCGUGUGUCCCUCCCCUCUGUGUCAUCACCUAGCCCAGUGCCUGGAAUAGAGGAGUGGAACGCUACAGGUGUGGGAACAAAUCAAUACACCUGUCCCCACCACGGUCUGGUCCCACCCGACCACCCAAGUUGACCUCGAACCUUAGAGUUUUGAACUUAAAAGAGUAAGGCACAGAUAAGCCCAAUCACAGCGUGUGAUGUGGCUUUUCUAAGAGAUAGUUCAGGAGCAUUGAAUAAUACAUGGAAAGUACGAGUGCCAGUUUUGGUGCAAAUGCAGUAGGACACGAAACUGUGCAAACCCGAUGACCAUAGCUAUGCGCACAGACCCCCCUGAAGGGCUUCUGGGUGAGUGUGGUGAGGUUUGCUCUCUGGCGACAUCAGCCAUGGCGAGGCACGUGAGAGGUUCCAUACCGAAAACGUGGAAGAUUGUUCCUCAGGGCAAAUGACCAGCCUAAGUGAAGAGUCAUGUAGCCGCUGACUUUGGAGAUCUGUCAGAGUCCUUCCUGAUGAGGCUGCCACAGCGGGACGAGUGCCACUAACGCGCUCCAAACUCGCCAGCCUUCUGGGUUCUGCAGGACUUCUAGCAGACUUCCCCAAAUUGGUAGGCAUUUCAGGAAACUUCUAACAUGAAAGACAGGGUCCAAAACAAACAGAAAAAGGAACCCAGAGGAAACAGGGACAAUACAGAGAGCAAAAGAAAACAAAAACCCCCAAACACACAAAAACCCCAAACAACUAAACAACAACUGUAUGAUUAAUGUCUUUAGAGAGUUUUAAGACUCUGUUAUGUCCAUAUUGUGUCCAUAAUCCAGUGGAGGGGUUGGAAGCGAGAGCAGGGAAUCUCUCAUUAGGUGGGAUGAGAAGACAUGGAAGAGAAAAGAAAAAAUCAGCAGCAGGUAAAUCCAGGAAGUUCCUAUAUGAUGAACGGGAGUUCCAGAAAUAGAGAAGGGAGGAAAUGGAGGGGGAAAUUCUUAAAUAAACCGUACAAGAACGUGUCCAGAAAUUUGAGGAUGCGAGUCUCCAGAUUAGGAGGGCUUACCAAGUACCCAGCCCGGACCCGAAGAGUUUGACUGUGUUGAGAAGAGAGUUCCAUUCCCCUCUGGGAAAUGGCAUCAAAAGUUGCGAGGGCCGGAGCAGAGGACUGCUAUUUUCCCCUAUAAGCUUUGUAGUAACAUGAUGGUCAGUUGCAGAUGUUAGCCUAGUGAGGCUGCCGUCCUCAGUUAUUCAAGCACGAAUGUAGGUGCUGCUGUGAAGGCAGUUUGUAGAUGUGAUUCAGAUCCAUAAUCGGUUGACUUUAAGUAAAGAAGAUCACCCUAGACAAUCUGGGUGGACCUGGUUCAACCAGUUGAAGGGCCUUAAGAGCUGAGAUGCCCCUGAAGGGGAAGAAAUUCCACCCGUGGGCUGCAGCUUCCGCUGGUGCAGAGUCCCGCCUGCGCUUCUAACGGCACCACCUGUGGAUUUCAGACUUGCCCAGCCAGCCCCACGUUGCAUAAACCAAUC